CCCAGAGACCUGUGCGCGAGCAGGUGCCAACGGUGCCAACGAUGCCAACGGUGCCAAGGGCCCCAGAGGGACUGGCAGCCGAAGGAGGAGCAGCCGCGUUCUGCUGAGCCGCCGAGGGAUCAGGCUUGUCAGAGGAGGAGCGCACAAGGCACUGCAUCUCCGAAGCUCCUGAACACCCUGGAAGUGGUUUACCGUUGGCUCUGAGCAGCCACUCACUGGGCAGCACCUUAGCUGCUGUAUUCACCAUGCUGAAGGAGGCUGUGGGUAUCCUGCCCAGAGAAGCAGGAUGCCUAGGACCAUGCCUACCUUCACCAAGGAUGUGGUGGGAACUUGAAACCUGAGACUUCCAGAAGAUGCUGGCCACCAACUGGUGCCUCACGCAGAAACCCCACAGGUCCUGCCAGCACUGGACCCAUGCUCUUUCUCCUGUAGCUUUGCCUUGGCUCAAGACCCAUCUGCACCAGUUCUUUGGUCCCCAGGAGUUCCUUUGGAGGCCUGGCUGUCCCUGUGCUCUGCAAGAGCAGACAAGAUGUGGGUCUGGUUGGGCCCCAAACAGGCCUGAACCUCUGCAUGAAGGAGGAGACUGGAGUCUCUCCAGCCAACAAAUCACCGGAGCUAGCCUGUUUCUCUUUAUGACCAGGAGGAGUUUCAGCAGGAAAUUCAGCCUAGUCCUGGGGAGGGGGCCGGUCACAGCCUCUCACUUAAGAAUGUAGUUUCAAAGGGGAUGAGACUUCCCAAGCAUCAGUGUGUCAGACACAAGGCCAGGGCAGAGUAAUGAGCAUGGUGAGAGUUGAGGAAAAGCUGAGAUGCCCUCCGACAGGCAGGCCCCAAGGAAGGCUGCCUGAGGGAAGUGGCCCAUUAGCCCUGCAGGCUAUGGAGGUGGUUAAGAGUGUGACAGAGGAUUGGCUUUUGAUUUUAGAUUUCCUCAAGUCAAGAGUGUAACAGAGGGCUGGCCUUCUACUUCGUGUUUAUGUACAGUCAGAGAGUGACGGGACUGGGUUUGGAUUUUAGAUUUCCUCAAGAUAAAGCUCCUGCCCUCCAAACGUGGAAGGGAAACGGACAUUCGGGAAGCAGCUUCGCCUUGGAGGGAGCUGGGCUGUGUCAGAAGGGGUCGGCAAGCCUGCCUUUCUGUGGCCCCACUGAGCUCUCCUCCUUUCCCACUGGGUACAGAGCUUGUGCCUUCUGGACCUUGAUCCCGUGAGGCUUCCUGGCAGCAGCUUCCUCAGAACCGGAGGUCUAGGUUGACUCCAUCCCAUCCAGUUGUGCUCCCUACUGUCCUGCGGUGGAGGCACCAGUGGGGCAGUAUGAGAGCAAAACUGGGAGAUGGCACCCGUGCGCAGAAACCCUCAAGGGGUUCACCCUGGGUAAGAAAAUCAGCCAGAGAUGUCUGAUGCUGUGUAACAAACUACCCCACAAUUUAGAAGCUUAAACAUAUUACAGGUUCGGUGGUUUAGGAUGCCCAGCAGUUAGUGGUGUCUCUGGUGGUGUCCCACUCACAGGCUACAGUCAGAGUGUGCUCUGGCCGUGGUCUCUGUUAUGAUGGCCCAGUCAAGAGGAGAUGCUGUCACUCUCAAAGUACAGUUGACAAGAUUUCAGUUCCUUUCCAGCAAACCCACAAAGGGUCUUAUUUUCUGCUUUUUGGCUGGCCUCUUUAUUGCACAGGCCUCUCCACAAUGCACCCCUCAAUAUGAUGGGUGACUCCCACCAGGUUAAGCAAGCAAGAGAGAGCAAAUGAAGUGGGCUCUGCCAUCCAUCUGGUUUCAUAAGGGGGAAUUCUGGGAUGUUUUGUGUUGAAGGCCAUACAUACUAAAAGGGAGCAGGUCCACACUGGAGUACAUACACCAGGGAGGGGAACGUUGAGGACCACCUCAUGGGUCAUCUCCAAGCCUGCCAGGACACCAUCCAAACCCUGUCAGUGUCCUCACCUGGGCACACUACUGUGUUCAGUAUCUUGUUACCCUAGUGCCACAUUUUUAAACCCUGAACUAUAAUACCCUAAGAUAUAACCGGGGAGUCAGAGGUACACAUUUGUUAGAGCUGCCUCUGCUAUCUGUGGACCCCUUUCUAAGACAGCUGAUCCCCUUGAAUUUCCCUGAGCGGCAUAAGGCGUCUAAAGCCUGCGUUGUUAGGCUGUCACUCGAACAAGCUUGGGCCCUGCUCUGAAGUUGAUACUUGAGAGAUCCCUGAGACUGGGAAAACUGAUGGCUAAGCACAUAGAAAAGUCUGCCUGUGUCCUUGCCCGUAUCCAUAGGGGUCACAUAGAUAAGGCUUAAAGAUCAGAGCCCCUAUCUUGGGAGAGCACUUCUUUAUCCUCCUAGACAAGAUCAGGUACCCUCAUCCUAGAACUCCCUAAGGUUUUGAUGAGGUUGGCACUCCCCGUGCACCUGCCCUAAAGCCACCAGUUCUGCCACAGGGUGUUACAUCAUCCCAUGGCAAUCUCUGGUAACUUUGUUUUUUUAUUUUAGAAUUUCCCUGCUCAAGGUUUAUGAAGAGCUGGCAUCUUUGGUUAUUUUGUCUAUAGAUGUAAUAAACUCAAGACCUGUUUGUACUGGGGGUAAAAUAUACGGGGGAUGAAACCUAUGUUAUGAGAAACAGUAUCCUCUUCUGCCUGAAACUUCUCUUUACUGGUGAACCUCAACUCUUGAUUUGCUUUGACAACAAAGAAGGAAUACUGGAAUAGCCAGAGAU